AGAUGUUCCCAGGACGCGAGCUAAGUCUGCCCGGCCGGCGCGCGCCGCUUCCGCUUUGGUGGGAAGGACCUCCCUUCCCCCUUAUAGAAACACUUUCUCCAGGCCGGGCCGGGCUUGGUAAACCUCAGCCGUGCCUGGGUAGAGGACGCCGGGCUGGGCCGAGCGGGGGUGGAAUGAGGGCGUCUAGAACAGAGAAAACUAAGAUGGGGUCGUCCCCCCAGUAAUCUGGAAAACAGUUACAGCAACAGGCUCCUCUCAUCAGACGGCAGUGCUGGUCGUUUCCUCACUGGUUUGCGGGGAAGGCUGGGCAGAAAAAGGAUGCAACCUUGUUCUCAACCACUUGCUAUCUCGUGAUUCAGGGAUUGGAUGAGUCUCUAUGGUUUGUUUUGCCCUGAAGAGCAGAAGGCUUCUGUCCCAACUGGUGUUGCCAAAGCAACAUAUUAAUUCCAUGCCAUGAUCCUGGGUCAAGAUCUGCACAAUCUGAUUGGGCAUGUCACCUCGGAUGGCAAGGGAGUGGAAGUGGUCAAAAUCAUGGAGUCCCAGCUUUCGGAGACGCCUUGCAGCUGCCCGGUGAAGAAAAUGCACAAUGGAAACCACCCAGAUGUCCAGUGAUAGUGGCAUGGACAAAUAAAUGUGGUAUAAUCAUGAAGAUAGAAUACUAAAUAGCAGUUAAAAAAUGAAGGCACCCAGCUUGGUGCACAACAUGGAUGAUUCUCACAAAUACAUAAUGUUGAGAAAAAAAGCAAGCCAUAACAGAAAAUAUAUGAAAAGCAUCCAUUUACAUGAAGCUCAAAAAUGGGUGAAAUUAAAGUACAUCAUUCAGGGAAGAAAAACAGUACACUAUAAAGAAAAGCAAGGAAACAACAGAAGGCUAGUUGUUACCUCUGGGUAGAGAUAGAGGUUUAUGAACAGGAAAAGGCAUAUAGGGGAAGUUGUGGGGUGCUGAAAAUGUUUAUUAUUUAUUUAUUUAUUUAUUUUUGAGACAGGAUCUUACUCUGUUUCCCAGGCUGGAGUACAGUGGUGUGAUCACUGCAACCUUGACUUCCCAGGCUCCAGAGAUCCUCCUACUUCAGCCUUAUGAGUAGCUGGAACCACAGGUGCACACCACCAUGCCCAGCUAAUUUUUGUAUUUUUGGUAGGGAUGAGAUUUUGCCAUGUUGCCCAGGCUGAUCUCAAACUCCCGAGCUCAAGCAAUCCACCAGCGUCAGUCUCUGAAAAUGCUGGGAUUACAGCGUCAGCCACUGCACCCAGCAGUUUUUUGGGUUUUUUGUUGUUGUUUUAUUUGAGACAGGGUCUCACUUCGUCACCCAGGCUGGGGUAUGUGGCACAAUCAAGGCUCACUGCAGCCUCGACCUCCUGGGUUCAAGCGAUCCUCCUCCCUCAGCUCUCUAAGUAGCUGGGACUACAGAUGCCCACCACCACACCUGGCUAAUUUUUUUUAGAGAUGGGGUUUUGCCAUGUUGCCCAGGCUGGGAAAGGAGUUUUUAAAAUUGAAAAAAAAAAGCACCCAUAAAUUAUGGUACAUCUAUCCAAUGAAACAUUAGGAAGCUGCUAAAAAAAGAAUGUGGUGAUAUAAAUAAUCUCAGAAUUAAAAGCUA
rnacentral:lncRNA from 1 species